UACAGAGGUCCCUAGCGUUGUUCGGAUUUACUGGGCGUAAAGGGCGCGUAGGCGUCAAGGCGUGUCAAGUGUGAAAUCUCCGGGCUCAACCCGGAAAGUGCGCUUGAAACUGCCUUGCUUGGAGUACGGAAGAGGGAAUCGGAAUAUAGGGUGUAGCGGUGAAAUGCGUUGAUAUCCUAUAGAACACCGGGGGCGAAGGCGGAUUCCUAGUACGUUACUGACGCUGAGGCGCGAAAGUCGGGGGAGCAGA
rnacentral:rRNA from 1 species